UCAUAGCUGUUGCACAUCCCAGGUGUUCACACUCCUCCCUUUCCACGUCUCAUUCCCCUUGAACCAGCCUUUUCUUCAUCUCCUAUUUCCCUAGCAGACAUGUCUAGCCUGGAGGAAAUUUGUGGGGGACUUCCACUACAUCCCCUGCUGGAAAACAGAGGGCGAAAGAAAGGAGUGCCUCACGCGCCUGUGAGAACCCCCAACCUCACCGCUCAGGAAGAAAAGCUGGCUUUGCAAAAUGCCUUGCGUUAUUUCCCACCCGAAGUCCAUAAAGAGCUGGCGCUGGAAUUUGCAGAAGAGCUCAAGCUGUAUGGCCACAUAUACAUGUACAGAUUCUGUCCAGCAAUUGAGAUGAGAGCUUACCACAUCGAGGAAUAUCCUUGCAAAACCAAAUCAGCUGCUGCAAUAAUGCACAUGAUCAUGAAUAAUCUGGAUCCCUCAGUGGCCCAGUUUCCCCAGGAGCUUGUAACUUACGGAGGAAAUGGACAAGUCUUCAGCAAUUGGGCUCAGUUCUGGUUGGUGAUGCACUAUUUGUCUGAGAUGACCGAAGAGCAAACUUUAGUGAUGUACAGUGGACAUCCUUUGGGCCUCUUCCCCAGCCCUCGGUAUGCACCUCGAUUAAUCAUCACCAAUGGCAUGGUUAUUCCCAACUAUUCCUCCAGAGAUGAAUAUGAGAAAAUGUUUGCAAUGGGAGUUACAAUGUAUGGACAGAUGACAGCAGGGAGUUAUUGCUACAUUGGACCACAGGGAAUUGUCCAUGGAACUGUGCUAACAGUGCUGAAUGCAGGUCGUCGCUACUUGGGUGUGGAGGACCUGGCUGGGAGGGUGUUUGUCACCUCUGGUCUUGGAGGGAUGAGUGGUGCUCAAGCUAAAGCUGCAGUCAUUGCUGGAUGUGUGGGGAUCAUUGCUGAGGUUGACGAAGCUGCACUUUUGAAACGUUACAGGCAAGGCUGGCUGAUGGAAAUCACUGAUAGCCUGGACCACUGCAUUGCUCGGCUCAGAGAUGCAAGAGAGAAUAAAAUUACCCUCAGUUUGGGCUACCAUGGGAAUGUGGUAGAUCUUUGGGAGAGGUUUGUCUAUGAACUUGAUACAACAGGAGAACAACUAGUUGAUCUUGGAUCUGACCAAACCUCCUGUCACAAUCCGUUCAGUGGAGGAUACUACCCCGUGCAGCUGAGCUUUGAGGAGGCAAACCAGCUCAUGUCUACCAAUCCAGGGAGGUUCCGUAGCCUUGUGCAAGAAAGUCUGAGGAGACAAGUGGCUGCUAUAAACAGGCUGUCUGAUAAGGGCAUGUUUUUUUGGGACUAUGGCAAUGCUUUUCUCUUGGAAGCUCAGCGAGCCGGUGCUGAUGUCGAGAAAAGAGGAGCCAAUAAAAUUGAAUUCCGAUACCCUUCCUAUGUUCAGCACAUUAUGGGAGACAUUUUUUCCCUGGGAUUUGGACCAUUCCGCUGGGUUUGUACUUCAGGUGACCCACAGGAUCUGGCUACCACUGACUUAAUCGCCACAUCAGUGCUCGAAGAGGCUAUACAUCAGGGAGUCAGUGCAUCUGUGAAGCAGCAAUACCAUGACAAUAUCCACUGGAUUCGGGAAGCCGGGAAGCACAGCUUGGUAGUUGGCUCCCAAGCUAGAAUCUUGUACUCUGAUCAGAAGGGUCGUGUGUCUAUUGCGGUGGCUAUUAAUCGAGCCAUUGCUGAAAAAAGGAUUAAGGCACCGGUUGUCCUGAGUCGAGAUCACCACGAUGUGAGUGGCACCGACAGUCCUUACAGAGAGACCUCAAACAUUUAUGAUGGAUCAGCCUUUUGUGCAGAUAUGGCGGUACAGAAUUUUGUAGGAGAUGCAGUUAGAGGAGCCACUUGGGUUGCCUUGCAUAAUGGUGGUGGAGUUGGCUGGGGCGAAGUGAUAAAUGGAGGAUUUGGCCUUGUUCUGGAUGGAUCAACAGAGGCUGAGGAACAAGCUAAGAUAAUGCUCAGCUGGGAUGUUUCCAAUGGAGUAGCUAGACGCUGUUGGUCGGGCAACAGUAAUGCCUAUGAAACAAUCUGCCAAGCGAUGGAGGAGACUGGUAAAUUAAAGGUGACUCUCCCACACAAGGUGGUAGACGAAAGCAUUUUGGAGCAAGCCCUGCAUCGUUAAUUGCAUUCGGAAUUCACUAUGCUCCUUUCACACACAUUUUGAAGUUGCUUUCUUGUUACCCAACCUCACUCUCUGGCAAGCAAUUUUAUAUUUGCUAUGAAACAAAGGAAUUUUUAGUGCAUCUACUUGCACCAGGGUUUGCCUGGAAAAAUGGUCACCUGAGAUUUGCACGAAAGACAGAAAAGGGAGUCUCUUUAAUUGAACAGAAAGCAAUGCCAGAAGCAGUGACUGGAAAAGAACAAGGGUGGUAAGCACUAAAUCAUUUCAAUAAAGUUAACAUCAAGGCCAGGAAAAUGUGUAAAACAGCUUCGUGAGCUGUUGUGUGGGCCAAAUUCAAUGCCGGUCCAAAGAGGUGCAAUUCCAUUGAGUUUGACCCAUCCAUUGGAAGGACUGUGACGGAUUUGCUCUUUCAUAACAGCUCUCUCCAUUAUCUCAGCAAAUGAAGCCACUUAUUAGAUUGAUAGAGACCUUUUAGUCUGGUCUAUACUUGAAGUUCUAUCAGCAUAGAUACAUCGGUCAGGGGUGUGAACAAUAAACACACAUACCCCAACCAACAUCCUCAUGAUGACAUAACCCACCGCAUGGAUGCAGCUAUGUUGAUUAAAGAGGGCUUAUGUCAAUGUAGCUAACGUCACAAGG